GACUGAUGAUGAUGAUGAUGUUGAUGAUGAUGAUGAUGAUUUUUCACGCUUACGAGUGCGUAGCCCUAUAGCCGCCUACUCUUCGGCCGAACGACUCACCCUUGGCCUCUAUAGAUCUGUGAACGUGAAUUCAGGUCAUCAUAAUCAUAAUCAUCAUCAUCAUCAUCA
rnacentral:pre_miRNA from 1 species